GACGAACGCUGGCGGCGUGCCUAAUACAUGCAAGUAGGACGCAGUUGCGAACGGGUGAGUAACGCGUAGGUAACUGCCUAUUAGAGGGGGAUAACUAUUGGAAACGAUAGCUAAUACCGCAUACUAGUUGAUGGACCUGCGUUGUAUUAGCUAGUGGGUUGGGUAACGGCCUACCUAGGCGAGGAUACAUAGCCGACCUGAGAGGGGGAGCGGCCACACGGGGACUGAGAAACGGCCCAGACUCCUACGGGAGGCAGCAGUGGGGAAGAUUGCGCAAUGGGCGCAAGCCUGACGCAGCCAUGCCGCGUGAAUGAAGAAGGCCUUCGGGUUGUAAAGUUCUGUCAGCGGGGAGGCGGUACCCACAGAAGAAGCACCGGCUAACUCCGUGCCAGCAGCCGCGGUAAUUC
rnacentral:rRNA from 1 species